CAGUCGCCGCGGUAAUACGUAGGUGGCAAGCGUUGUCCGGAAUUAUUGGGCGUAAAGGGCUCGCAGGCGGUUUCUUAAGUCUGAUGUGAAAGCCCCCGGCUCAACCAGGGAGGGUCAUUGGAAACUGGGAAACUUGAGUGCAGAAGAGGAGAGUGGAAUUCCACGUGUAGCGGUGAAAUGCGUAGAGAUGUGGAGGAACACCAGUGGCGAAGGCGACUCUCUGGUCUGUAACUGACGCUGAGGAGCGAAAGCGUGGGGAGCGAACAGGAUUAGAUACCCGCGUAGUCCCUGUCUCUUAUAC
rnacentral:rRNA from 1 species